rnacentral:piRNA from 1 species
GCCAAAGUGAAAUUCCAACCUGAUGGAAGU